AUGUUAUGUCCCUCCAUUGUUUCUGCUCAUCACCCGAAGUCUUUCUUUUCAUUACCCCCUUGUGACUACCACCGCUCUAUACCAACAAAGAUGCCAUCCCCUAAUUGGUCACCAUCAUGGAGCUGCCCACAGGAUUUCAAGCAGAUGAGCACUGUUGCCUUGCCAGCUUGCAGAGGAAACAGAAUUUCCAAUUAUAAAUUCUAACAUUAGAUGAGCAAAACCCUGAUCCAACUCUAACAAGGAAAUUGACGGUUUUAUAACAGCAGUGUUUUAAGAGAGAAACUGCCAGCAUUUGUUGGUAUAGAUUUAGAAGGGAACUUGCUUCAGGUCUGCUGUCAAUCAAGGGCUCUUUGUGUUUUCAGAGUAGACUCUGAGAAGCGAGUUACAAAGCUGAGCUACUCCAGGAGAUAGCUGAGUACUUUUAUACUCUUCUGUGAGCAGGAAAGACAAAGCAGUGAACUGCCUUUUAUUAGGACCUAGUGCCCUAUCGUUGCAAGAGUGUACUGGAGAGUGCUUCUGAAUCACAUCUUUACUCAUUCAACAAACAUUGACUGAAUUAGGCAGAUGCAACCCAUGCCAAGCACUUGCUAGGUCUUGGAGAUGUUACAGUGAAUAACGCAUAGCUCCUUCUAUAAGGAGUUUGGAGUUUAAAAAAGAAAGUUGGACACAUAAGCAAAUACUGUUUUAAAGAUUGUGCUAUAACCCCUAAACAUUAUUAAUUAUAUUAGUAAAUAAUAUUACUAUCAUAAAUUUAUAUUAAUACACAUACUUAAAAUUAAAAUUAAAUGUUAAGUAAAUAUUUAAAUUAGUAAUUUAUAUUAAUAUUAAAAUAUUAAUUGUGAUAUAAAUAUGUAAGAUUCUUUUAGGGAUCACAAAGGGAGAAUCAAUGAUUCUCCCUGGAAGAGUCGAGGAAGGCCUAAUAAAGGAGUGAUGAUUUUGCUGAAAUUUAAGGAUUGGUAAGUUGUAUGAAAUCUAUCAUACAUGGUGUAAGGAUACAUUCCAGACCAAAGGGAUACUGUUAGGAAGGUCACGGAAGCAUGAAAUGGUUAUGGCUGGAGUGGGGGACAUGAUGGCAGGUUCUGAGGGGCUGAGAGGUAGGGGAUCAGGUAGAAGGAGUAGAUGAGGACCUCGCUAUGUAGGGCUCUGUGUAACAUGUGGAGAGUGUGAAUCUUAUCCCAAAGGACAGCAAUUCAAGGUAUCUCAGCCAAGGAAUAAUGUGCUCAAGCCUACACUGGCAUAUGUAGCGACUGAACCCAAGAGGGAAGCAGGUAGUGAAAGCAUUAAGAAGGCAACAGUAGUAAUUGGGUUAAUAGGUGAAGAGGGCAUGAACAAAGGCAUGGGAAAUAGAGAGGUUGAAGAGGGGACACUGGAACUGGCAGGAUUUAGACGUCAGUUGUAUUAAUGGAUGGAAGGAUGAGAAGACAUUGGGAUGACUUUCUAGUGCUUACCCUGUAGGUGUGGAUGGAUGGUGGUUCCACUUACUAUGAUGAAGACAUAAGAGAGGACUGGGUUUGAACAGGUCGAGCUACUGAAACUAAAGUACUUUUGAGGGCAAUGCCAUGUCUUAUGUGACAUUUGACACUCCUUACGUAAGACAAUGACUAGAAUAUAGUAACUUUCAAUAAAUAGUGAAUGAAUAGAUGAACUGACUGUAGAAAGAAGCCAUGCCUGCUUGACAUCUGGUAAACCCCUGGCCAUAAAGGCUAGACACAUAGAUCUGGAAGACUGUCGAACACUCCUGCAAGGACAAGUAGAUGAGAUAUGGGCCAAGAAUAAAACUUGAGAGAAAUACCAGAAUAAAAAGGUCAAACACAGAAAAAAGAGACAGCAAAGGAGUCUUGAAACUGACAGGUUGAAGAAUGAGAAGAGAUAGCUCUCUAUCUUCACAUCUCUCUGUGUCAAAUCUUCACACUGCGCUUUUCUAUUGAGACUUUGAAAAAGUAUGUAAUCUCAUGAAUAUCAAUUGCCUCAUCAAUAAGAUAUGAAUGAUAAUGCCUAUCUUACAGGGUUCUUUUCGGGAUUUUCCAUACAUUAAUGUGUAUGACACAUAGUCAGUCCUCAAUAAAUAUUAAUCCCAUAACUCUUUUAAAAUAUAACAAAUACAACAUCACCUUGGACCCCCUGGAUUUGAAAGUUAUGGUUCCAACUCUUUGUAAGCAUCUCAGGAUGUCCAAGACCUGCUGUUGUAUCCUGCCUUUUGGUUAAGACAUCAAUAUAAAUACAGACAUUAGGAGGUGAACAUGUGGCAAUCACCCAGCUUUCAAAUGUUAAAAAAUUUUUUGUGUUUCUGCUCCUCUGGAUAUCUUUAUUAAUUCUUGCCAAGUGCUACAAUAGAAUUUUUAAAAAUUGAGUAUUUGCAAAUAUCUGAGACUGUAUAAAGGGCCUACUAUAUAACAAACAAGAAAUAAAAUUAUAAAUGGAAACUCUAUGCUAAAUAGUACACAACAAGAGACACAGGUAAUAUGCGCUAAAAUCACUGAAAGCAAAGAAUAGUCUAUACUUAUUUAAAUCUAUUGCUAUUAUGUAGUAAUUUUCUACUGGUUAUUAUGACUUAAAUCCCAUUUGUUUCAUGGAUUCAAUUUGUUUCUGGCUGAUGCACAUCUCUUUUAGUAGUUCUUUCAUCAGAUUCAAGAAUGGUACAAACUCUUUGCUUGUCUCAAAAUGUCUUUAUUUGGUCCUCAGUUUUGAAUGAAAGAUUAAAUAAAAGAACUGGAUACUGAGUUCUUGAUAUUCACUUUCUGUCAGCCCUUGGAAGAUGUUAUCCUAUUGUCCCUGUC
rnacentral:lncRNA from 1 species